rnacentral:lncRNA from 1 species
GCCGACCCACAGAUAAAGGGUCAAGAAAAAGCAGGAAGGGAGAGAGAGGGCGGGAAGGAUCUAUGAACCAUAGAGAAAGAGACAAUCUACAUUGGCUGGAUUUACCGUGUACGAGCUGGACUGUUUUGGACUUACCUGUUGGCGUUUAGACCUGGACCUACCGAGAACUAGAUUUGUGUACCGAACCCUGCUAUCCUUGACCUUACCUGCGGCCUGGGUGGACCAGGACAGAGAAACAAACACACAGGUCAUAAAGUGAACUGCUCUGCCCAACAUUACAAACCGUUACAAGACUCGGGUCAGGAUACCCCAAGGGCAAUUAACUAACAAGGAAAGCCUCUUAUGGGAUAUAUCUACAGAGCCGAGU